UACGUAGGCAGCAAGCGUUGUUCGGAAUUACUGGGCGUAAAGCGCGCGCAGGCGGCUAUCCAAGUCAGUGGUGAAAGCCCGAGGCUCAACCUCGGAACUGCCUUCGAUACUGCGGGUCUCGAGUCCGGGAGAGGUGAGUGGAAUUCCUAGUGUAGAGGUGAAAUUCGUAGAUAUUAGGAAGAACACCAGUGGCGAAGGCGGCUCACUGGCCCGGUACUGACGCUGAGGCGCGAAAGCGUGGGGAGCAAACAGG
rnacentral:rRNA from 1 species